UUCGCCACUCGGUCGGCGGCAGUUGUUGUUGUCGGCAGUUGCCAGUUGCCAGUUGAAUGUAGUGAGUACUCAGAUUUCAGAGCCUCUGACUUGCAAUUUGUAUGCCUGGCUGUUGCUGCUGCUGCGGGGUUACUGCUGCUGCUGUUGAUGUUUCUGGUGCUGCGAGGACACAGGAAACUUUUGUUGCAUGAAUGACACUUUUUACGCCAAGUGUAAUCCGAUUCGAGCUGAACAAAAGACGGAAUGAGGAUAUAUGAAUGCGCCACGGCUUAGAUGUUUAUCACGAUUCUUCCGACUGCCAAUGCGAUUCAAGGGUUACGGCUGUUUGUGCCAGAACGGAAGUCUGAUAUCCUUUCGGGGCAUUUUCCUGGGGACAGAAAUGUCGCACACGAACGCACACGGCCAGAACUCUGAAAAUACAAAAAACAUUAUAAAAAAAAAAAGAGAGGAGCGCGGAAAAAGAAAAUGAAAAUUCCCAAAGGAAGCAUAGAUAAUGAGCACAGAGUCCCCGACACUCCGAAUGGCAGUGGAAAAGUCGCCCAGCCGGAGCCAAAAGCCAAAGUCACACCGACAGAAAGUGCGGCCCAAUCACAGGGGCGGUUUGGGGGAGUUUGAAGGUUUAGAGGGCUGAAAAAAAAUUUCUUUAAAGAUAAUAAUAUUAAAUAUUAUAAAAUGAAUAUAAUAUAUGAUUACUACUGCAUAGAUAUGAGGUAAAUUAUGCCUACCAGACUAACUAUGUAUUAUUUAGAUCAAGUUAAGUAAUAAACAACUUAAUUACUGAAUAACUUUGAACUAUUAUUGGAGCUAGCUUCUAAAUUAUAAAUUGUAUUGUUAAUUUAAGUUUAUUAGUUGUUAUUUUUAUAUUCUUAAAACGUGUAGAUAAUCCGCUCCUGUGAGCUGGUCAGUCGUCCAGUUCGUCAGUCUUUCGCUUUCGGGUGACUUUGACUGGAGUCAGCCAUUUUGCCGGAGUUGCGGCAGUACUGCCACAAUGGCAAUAUGCCCGAGACCAUUGUGGCCCGAUUCUCCGUUACCAACUUCUGCUGCCGGCUCGGCUCACCUACCAGCUUCAGUGUCUCUCAGCUGCUUCUACUGCCGCUGUGGCUUUUGUUUUUAGCCAUUGUUAGUGGAACGCUGAUGCUUCUGCUUCUGCUUCUGCGUCUGCUGGCUUUGCAACAUGAUUCUCGUUGGUCGUGUCAGUCCCACGGGUAAUUAUUGACACGGUUGUAUGCACGCAGCCCAAAAAGCACACACAGUCAGUGAAAUGUACAAAAGCAGGCGGCGUGUUGCUUUGCCACGCGAAAUAAUAAAAAACCAACCAACUCCACUCGAAAUAAUAAUGAAAAUGUCGGUGUAUUUGCCUCGAGGAGGGGUUUCUUUCUAUAGAUAUGGUCGGGGUAUACAUAUAUACAUACGUAUAUAUACAUAUAUAGGGGAGGGUGUGUAGGGGGUGUUGCCACCGCUGUCGCACUUGGCACGCACGGCAACAUUAAAACCAAUGAAAACUACAAUUUGCCCUCGUAGAUUAGUGGCUUUUCUUUAUCAUCGAAUAAUGUGGAAUGUGCUUUAUAACUAUGGAGUGACUAUAAAAUGGUAGUAUAAUUUUCAUUAGGCGGAGGAGAAAUUAAAGAUAUGGAGCUGAUAUAUCCGCAUAUUAAAAUAGGCCAUUAGCUAGAUUAAUCACCUUAAGAAACUCUACAACUUCUAUGAGAUAUAUGUAUAAUAUGUAAUAAGUAAUUAUAUAGAAAUAGUUCACAUUACCUCACAUUUGAAUACAGCAAAUCCAUUAGCCAUGAUUAAUCAGUGAGGAAUUUCGCCCAAUUUCUUUUGGACAAUCCUCCGAAAAUCCCAUAAAUUCUUAAAGCGCAUUUCAACUAGCACAUGACCAUUAAAAACCUUUCCCUUCCUUUCGGUUUUCCAUAUACAAGUUUAUAUAGCCCGAGGGGCAGGUUUCAUCUACACGAGUGGGUGUGUGGGUGGGUGUGUGUGUAGGUGUGUGUGUUUCUAUGUGAGUGUUCAACUACCCCAAAAUGGCAGGUGGCAAUAGAUAAACG